rnacentral:rRNA from 1 species
CACGUAGGCGGCUUUGUAAGUUAGAGGUGAAGGCCCAGGGCUUAACCCUGGAAUUGCCUUUAAGACUGCAUCGCUAGAAUCGUGGAGAGGUGAGUGGAAUUCCGAGUGUAGAGGUGAAAUUCGUAGAUAUUCGGAAGAACACCAGUGGCGAAGGCGACUCACUGGACACGUAUUGACGCUGAGGUGCGAAAGCGUGGGGAGCAAACA